GAGAGAGAGAGAGAGAGAGGGAGAGAGGGAGAGAGAACAAGCAGUGGGUAGGGGCAGAGGGAGAAAGAGAGAGAAGCAGCCUCCUUGCUGAGCAGGAAGCCUGAUGCCAGGCUUCAUCCCAGAACCCCGAGUUCAUGACCUGAACUGAAGACAGACACUUAACCAAUUGAACCACCAAGGCACCCCCAGAAUACACAUUUUUUCAUGUGUAUAUGGAACAUUCUCCAGGAUAGAUCGUAUACUGGGUCACAGCUCAGUCCUCAACCACUACAACAUGAUUGACAUCAUACCAUGCAUAUUUUCAGACUACAGGGCUAUGAAACUUGAAGUUAACCACAAGAAAAAGGGAAGGGCCAUAAAUACACAGAAGCUGAAGAAUAUCCUGCUAAAGAUUAAAUGAGUCAGCCAGGAAAUUAAAGAACAUUUUUUUAAAAUAUGUGGAAACAAAUGAAAAUGAAAACACAACAGUUCAAAACCUUUGGGAUACAGCAAAUGUGUUCCUAAGAGGGGAGUAUAUAGCACUACAGGCCUUCCUCAAGAAGCAAGAAAAGUCUCACCUUACUAAAAAAGCCACCACAGCAUAUUUCCAUGUCUCUAUUCAUUUGGUCUAUACCAGUGGUUCCCACAUUACACCUAACUUUACAUCUAAAGGAGCUUGGCAUUACUUUGAUUCCCAAAACCAGAGACUCCUCUAAAAAUGAGAAUUACAGACCAAUAUUCCUGAUGAAUAUGGAUACAAAAAUUUUCAACAAGAUUCUAGCUAAUCAUAUCCAACAGUACAUUAAAAGGAUUGUUCACCACGACCAAGUGGGAUUUAUUCCUGGGCUACAGGGAUGGUUCAACAUCCACAAAUCAACCAAUACGCUAAACCACAUUAAUAAAAGAAAGGAUUAGAACCAUAUGAUUCUCUCAAUAGAUGUAGAAAUGCAUUUGACAAAAUACAGCAUUCUUUCUGGAUAAAAACCAUCCACAGUGUAGGGAUUUAGGGAACAUUCCUUAAUAUCAUAAAGGCAAUAUAUGAAAGACCCACAGCUAAUAUCUUCAAUGGAGAAAAACUGAGAACCUUUUCCCUAAGGUCAGGAACAUGGCAAGGAUGUCCACUCUCACCACUGCUGCUUAUACAGUACUGGAAGUCCUAGCCUCAGAAAUCAGACAACAAAAAGAAAUAAAAGGCAAUCAGAUCAGCAAAGAAGAAGUCAAACUUUCACUCUUAACAAUGACAUAAUACUCUAUGUAGAAAACCCAACAGUGCCUGGGUGGCUCAGUCAGUUAAGCAUCUGCUUUUGGCUUACAUCAUGAUCCUAGGAUCAUGGGAUCAAGUCCCACAUCAGGGCUUCUCCCUCGCCCUUUGCCUGCCACUACCUACUUGUUCUCCUCUCUCUCUCUCUCUCUCUCUCUCUCUCUGCCAAAUAAAUAAAUAAAAUCUUAAAACACACACACACAGAAAACCCAAAGUCUCCACCCAAAAAUUGUUACAACUCAUACAGGAAUUCAGCAAUGUCACAGACUAUAGAAUCAGCACACAGACCUCAGUUGCAUUCCAAUACACUAAAAAUGAUACAGAAGAAAGAGAAAUCAAAGAAGCAAUCCCAUUUAUAAUUGCACCAAAAACUAUAUGAUACCUAGGAAUAAACCUAAUCAAAGAGGCAAAAGAUCUAUACUCUGAAAACUAUAGAACAUUUAUGAAAGAAAUCCAAUGGAAAAAAGACAGUCUCUACAACAAAUGGUGUCAGGAAAAUGGUACCAACUACACACAGAAGAAUGAAAGUGGACCAUUGUCUUUUACACUAUACACAAAGAUAAACUGAAAAUGAAUGAAAGACCUGUGAGACAGGAAUCCAUCAAAAUCCUAGAGGAAAACACAGGCAACAACCUCUUAGUCCUGGGCCACAGCAAUUUUUUUUGCUAGACAUGUUUCCAAAGACAAGGGAAACAAAAGCAAAAUGAAUUGUUGGGACUUCAUUAGGAUAUAAAUCUUUGCACAGCAAAGGAAACAAUCAACAAAACUAAAUGGCAGCCUACAGAAUGGGAGAAGAUUUUGCAAAAAUCAUAUCAGAUAAAGCUAGUGUCCAAAAUCUAUAAAGAACUUAGAAACUAACCAUCCGAACAACAAAAAAAUCCAGCCAAGAAAUGGGUAGAAGACAGGAACAGACAUUUCUCCAAAGAAGACAUAUAAAUGGCCAACAGGCACAUGAAAAAAUGCUCAACAUCAUUCAUCAUCAGGAAAAUACAAAUCAGAACCACAAUAAGAUACCACCUCAAACUGGUCAGAAUGCCUAAAAUUAACAACUCAAAAAAUACAAGAUGUUGGCGAGGAUGUAGAAAAAGAGUAACCCUCUUACACUGUUCGGUGGGAAUGCAAACUGGUGCAGCCACCCUGGAAAACAGUAUGGAGGUUUCUGAAAAAGUUAAAAAUAGAACUACCCUAGGACCCAGUAAUUUCACUACUAGGUAUUGAUCCAAAGGAAACAAAAAUAGUGAUUCAAAGGGGCACGACAUGCACCCUGAUGUUUAUAGCAGCAAUGUCCACAAUAGCCAAACUAUGGAAAGAGCCCAGAAGUCCAUGCACAGAUGAAUGGAUAAAGAACAUGUGGUAUACACAGGCAAUGGAAUAUUAGCCAUCAGAAAGAAUGAAAUCUUGCCAUUUGCAGUGACAUGGAUGGAACUAGAGUGUAUUAUCCUAAGGAAAAUAAGUCAGUCAGAGAAAGACAAAUGCCAUAUGAUUUCACCCAUAUGUGGAGUUUAAGAAACAAACUAGAUGAACAUAGGGGAAGGGAAGGGAAAAUAAAACAAGAUAAACACAGAGAGGAAGGCAAACCAUAAGAGACUCUUAAGAAUAAGGAAUAAACUGAGGGUUGCUGGAGGGGAAGGGGAUGGGAGAUGGGAUAAUUGGGUGGUGGGCAUUAAGGAAGACACUUGAUGUAGUAUGGGGUGUUAUAUGCAACUGAUGAAUCACUAAAUUCUACCCCUGAAAUUAACAACACAUUAUAUGUUAAUCAAAUUGAAUUUAAAUAUUAAACAACUAUUGAGGGGUGCCUGGAUGGCUUAAUCGGUUAAGCAUCUGCCUUGGGCUCAGGUCAUGAUCUCAGGGUCCUGGGAUUGAGCCCCCUGCAUCAGGGUCCCUGCUCAGCAGGGGAGCCCACUUGUCUCUCUCCCCCUGCUCCUCCCCCUAUUUGUACUCUGUCACCCUUUCCCUCCAAUAAAGAAAGAAAAUAUUUUUCAAAAAUUUUUGAGAACCCCAAAUAGGUUUCAUUUAUUACAUAAAUGAAAUAUUUCUAACAAUAUUUCCCAUAUUAGAAAUUAAAGCUGAGAAAUAAAAAAAAAAAACAAGAAAUGUUUAAAACACAGGAAUACCUAAUACUCAUUCCAUUACCCCAUUUGUUGUCAAAAUAAUGGCAUCAUCACAGAUACUAUAGCUCCAGAAAACUGCACUGUACACUCCUAAAGAAAAUGAGUCUGUAAAAUGCAAACAUCAUUUAUAAUUAUAAAAACAGUUUUGAUCUCACACACCCUGUAAAGAGUCUCAAUGAUCACCAGGGAUCCCCAGAGCACAUGUUGGAAAAUUGCUGCUCACUGUUCAAGUCAAACAGGAUUAGUCUAUUCUCCCAAACAGACCUAACACCUCCCAAGCUCCUCCUCUUUAAUGAGACUGUUUCCUCAAUCAGAAUCCUAUCUGUCCCACUACCUCUAAUCACGAGACUUCUUUCUUUUCCUUUGAAAGAGGAACUUACAUGUGAUUUCUUUUGUGCAAUUUUUCAUGAUGGGCCACCACCGUUUGUGUGUGUGUGUGUGUGUGUGUGUAUGUUUCCUUCUUCAGACUCUUCAAAGUAUUUUAUUUAUAUCUCUUCUAUGGUACUUAUAACAUGGUCCCUUCAAUUAUUCCUGUUUAUGUAUUUAUCUUAUUCCUUCCUAAUACACACCUGUUGUUCUCACUUUUCCAACACUAAUUCCUCCUCCUCCUAGUACCAUCUCAAUUUUGCUUUGACAAACUUCCCGCCCUCAAGUGUAUACUAUUUCAUGGGAUUAGCCAUCAAAGAACCCCACCUUUCUCUGGAAAAAGGGUAAAAACAUGAGCCAAACUAAGCCAGUCAGAUACUUAGCUUUAGAAUUUUAAGUAUGAGCAGACACUGGAUUUACUUGGUGCUCACUUAACUUGAGAGAAGUGCCCUGAAGAGAGAUUUUUCCUUAGGUAUUCUACCUAGAUUCUUAGAGCUGCUUCACUUCUUGCCCUAGUUCUUUCUCUUUUCUUUUGGUUUUGUGAGCUAACCUGUAUUUAAAUAAAAUAUUUGUGUCUAACUUAACCAUGGUCAGUUGGUGUUGCUUACAAACAAGCCCCUCUUCAGAUUGCCCCAGAGUUCUUCCCCCAUCAUACCUAUCAUAGUACAGCCCUCCCCUUCCCCACCAGUAGUUAGACCCAACCCAGCAUGUAAGACUGCCCUAGUUCAUCCAAUCCACAAGGUGAAGUCCAAGGGUUGCCUCUACCCACCACCUCCCCUCUGUCUCUACCUGGUGUUUGACCAUCUUCACUUGUCAUAGUUGGAACUCUCGCUCAACUUCCCUCUAGGCUGCAUCCAACAUCACCUACCUCUGCCCCAAGUCCCUAUGUUCCAUUAAUGCCUCCCCUCCCUGACACUGCAAGUUAUAUCUGUUUCUGAGCCAAAGUGUCACUGAUCAAUCAUGUCCAUAAUCUGUAAUACUCAGAAUGUAUUUCUGGAAGCAAUACAAAAAUGUAUCCAGUAUGAAAAGUAAAAGAGCAGGAUGAAACAAGAACUAUACAUGAACACAUUGAAAAUCAUGUUGCCACCAUCCUGUCCUGCUGUACUGCUGUGGAAUAUAGUGAUUCAGAAGAUGAUUCAGAAUUUGAUGAAGUAGACUACUUGAAGUAAGAAAAAUACAUUGAUGAAUAUUAUAGAACAAAAUGCAAGCUUCCUUUGUGGUGCUUGUUCUUUGAAAAUUCUUGAUCUUUCUGGUGUUUUUGCUUUCUUUCCCUUAUGAUAACCCCUUUCCUCAAUAAAUUUUUAUUUCUAAGAAAAUAUUAGAAUACAUUUCAAACUAAAUGUUUUGUGGUGGCUUAUCUUUUUUUCCCCCUGAAAAGACCUAAUUCGGUCAAAUAAGCCACUAAGUAUUAAGCGUGGAAACCUCUUGCUAGAGUAACAAAUUUAAUAGGGUCUUUUUGAUAAACAUUAAUUAUGCACUUUGUGAGUUUUAAUUUAUUUAUUUAUUUAUUUUGUGUGAGUUUUAAUUUUUUUUUUUGAGUUUUAAUUUAAAGAAAACCCAUAAGAUUGAAAUCUUAAGGGCAGUUGCAUCUAUUUAUAUGUCAUAAUGCAUUUCCUGAUGUUUUAAAAGAAGAAAAGCUGCCUCAAUGAUAUGAACA
rnacentral:lncRNA from 1 species